rnacentral:rRNA from 1 species
ACUCCUACGGGAGGCAGCAGUAAGGAAUAUUGCGCAAUGGGCGAAAGCCUGACGCAGCGACGCCGCGUGGGGGAUGAAGGUCUUCGGAUUGUAAACCCCUUUCAGGAGGGAAGAUGGAGCGAGCAAUCGUUCGGACGGUACCUCCAGAAGCAGCCACGGCCAACUUCGUGCCAGCAGCCGCGGUAAUACGAAGGUGGCAAGCGUUGUUCGGAUUCACUGGGCGUACAGGGUGUGUAGGCGGUUUGGUAAGCCUUCUGUUAAAGCUUCGGGCCCAACCCGGAAAGCGCAGAGGGUACUGCCAGGCUAGAGGGUGGGAGAGGAGCGCGGAAUUCCCG